rnacentral:rRNA from 1 species
CUACGGGAGGCAGCAGUAAGGAAUAUUGGUCAAUGGGCGGAAGCCUGAAUCAGCCAUGCCGCGUGCAGGAUGACUGCCCUAUGGGUUGUAAACUGCUUUUGUCCGGGAAUAAACCUCCUUACGUGUAGGGAGCUGAAUGUACCGGAAGAAUAAGGAUCGGCUAACUCCGUGCCAGCAGCCGCGGUAAU